rnacentral:rRNA from 1 species
UCCUUCCGCAGUGUACACUUGCUGAAGCCUUAGCGGGUCCAAAAGACCGGUACUAUCGCGACUGAAAAUAAUGGAGACCAGCCUGCUCGUCAGGCGCGCUAGUCGGGGGCCUUCUCAUGCCCCCGGCGACACUAUCGAAUUGACGGGGAUCCCCUAAAGACGGUGAUACCAACCCUGCGGCGAAAGCCAAGGGGGGCCCGAGUUAACCACUCGGGGUGUGGUAAUAAAUCAUCGUAUGAGCCUCACGCGCCGAAGUGGACGCGCGUGUGGUGAAAUGGGCAAUCCGCAGCCAACGCCUAAGGUUAAACCUGGUUUAACUACGGUAGGGGUUCACAGACUAAGUGGUAGUGGGUGUGGCCUUCGGGCCAUGCUUAAGAUAUAGUCGGGCCCCCGGGGAAACCUGGGGGGUAAGUACACUGCAAAUCAGUUUGCAGGUCGCCUUGGUGGAUGCCUCGACCGCGUGCUGCGGGCCCGGCGUGAAGCCUCGGUCGACCAAAGACUACAACAAACCGUUCCGUAGGUGAACCUGCGGAAGGAUCAUU